rnacentral:lncRNA from 1 species
AACAUCGACGGAACGAACAUACAAGACAAGGAUCGAGCAAGUCACGUUGAAAAAACGCGGAAACUUCACACGAUGAUAACGGACAUUGAAUGUUUAAAUUCGAGAAACUUCUUUGAUGGAUAUUCUCUUUACAAUGAUUUGUGAAAUUGGUUUCAGAAUACUAGAUUCGAAUGUCGCUGCAUGUUGCCAUGACGAAAACGGAACAGUGUAGGUUAAAGAGGCGAAGGGAAAGGCAGGUCAAAGCAGCGACGCACUGGCCAGGUGCGCAGACAUUCCACUCGCCUUGCGGUACGCUCACCCCUCUUUCCCCGGCCGCGAUUAUUUUCUACCUGGAGCGCCACGUUUAUUUCUUCAUGGCGGAUCGAACGAUAUAUUCGAUACAUCGAACCGAUCCGAAACGAUAUUGUGUGUAUGAAUGAAUUCUCCACGAAGAAGAUUCGAAGAGGUAUAAGGAUGGUGAUCGAAAGAAACAAAAAUGGCGGCUACUUGGCGCAUUUCUGAGUUAUAAGGAGCCUCUAUAAAUGAUCACAGGAGAAUGAAGGAAACCUAACAAGCAACAGGUUGGCACGAUCUCCGUAAGGGGUGGGGAAAUGAGAGAAUAAGAAGAGCUAUGUAAGUACUUAUAGACAGAGAAGCAGAAAACGGGAAAGCAAUCAUCGUUGGAUUUGGUAGGAAUAUCCGUAGAAACGAAAUGCUUAGCACUACGUAAGAACAACGAUAUCGUGACAAGGAGACCGGAUUGGUCGGUCACCUGUUGCCCGCUAGCUGUGAUUGGUCGGGCUCGACAGCGCGUAACGACAGCCAGAGGAAGACAAGUGCAUUGUCGGUUGGUUUAUGAUGGACCAAGAUCAAAAAUAAAUACUACGAGAAUGUUAAUUUCAUAUUUUUGUUAUAUAUAUUUACAUACAUAUA